rnacentral:rRNA from 1 species
GAGAAACGCUGGCGGCGCACAUAAGACAUGCAAGUCGAACGGAAUUUAGUCGAAUGUUUACAUGAGACGAAAAUUUAGUGGCGGACGGGUGAGUAACACGUGAGCAACCUGCCUUUAAGAGGGGGAUAACAUUGAGAAAUCAGUGCUAAUACCGCAUAAAGCUAUUUAACCGCAUGAUUAAAUAGCCAAAAGGAGAAAUCCGCUUAAAGAUGGGCUCGCGGCUGAUUAGUUAGUUGUAGGGUAACGGCCUACCAAGACGAUGAUCAGUAGCCGAGCUGAGAGGCACAACGGCCGCAUUGGGACUGAGGACACGGGCCCAGACUCCUACGGGAGGCAGCAGUGGGGAAUCUUCCGCAAUGGACGAAAGUCUGACGGAGCAAUGCCGCGUGA